GGGGGGGGGGUUGUGCUGAGCACCUCCAUGCUCCUCUUCCUGCUGCUCUACCGCUACCGCUUGUUGCCACGUCUUCUCGCAUAUUAUCGUGCCACAUCGUCUUCGUUCGUCCCGUGAAAUCGAUGAAAGCGAAAGAAGCAGCAGCACCAGCAGCAGCAGGAGCAGAGAAUUCUUGGCUUGCGUGUAGUGGUGUGACCAUUUCCGUUAGCAUAAGAGAAAGAGAGAGAAAGAGAAAGAGACAGGACCUAGCAGAGCAGCUGCUGCAGCUUGUGCAGUUCACGGACGAACGAGCAGCGGGCGCGAAACCGGAGGUGGGGUUGUUAAACUUGAACUUGAACGAACGAACGAACGAUGGAGGCCUACAUCGGUGCUCGCACGCACACCACGGUACGACAAAGGAGAACAACACACACCUACACACAGCUUAUGGCCUGCCCACCCCCCUAGGUACCUUGGAACAGCUGCAUCUGGAAAGGGGGUUAGCAGGAUGCUCGUGCACGAAACCGUGCCAAUUACAAUCAGCACGUGUUUGUCGGCGGCGGUCGUGAAACGUGACUCGUGAGUCACACGCGGUGGCCCACACGCGGAAGGCCAUCGACAGCCGCCGGGAAUCGACCAAAAACGCGAGCGGUUGGGAUGUGAUAUGGAAACUGCCUGCCUGCCUGCCUUGUUUUCCAUUUCGUUGCCCAAUCUAAUGAUCAACCUGCUGCUGCUAACCGUACAAAAGGGACGAUGUCACUGUCAGCACCGUAGAAGAGGAGCGCCGUAGGUAAGUGUUCUAGAAUGUUCUCGCGCCGCUGAUGGCGACAGCAGCAGCAGCAGCACGAAGUGGAAAGUGGUUGCAUGUUGGUGUGAGCAGCGCGCGUACACGGAACCCUCUGCCGCUGGGAUACACCUUGUGCUCGCUUUGCAAUUGAAAUACUCAAGUGAACACAUCUGGUGGUAUCUCAGUGGCCGGGCACUAUGGUUCACUAUUCAACGGGAAAGCCGGAAAACGGCGCUGGGACGGAAAAUUGAGCGACCGGCAGGUCGUGAGAUACCGUGCGCUUGCGUGCAAGUUGCAUGCAAGUGCGGCGAGUUUGGUCGAGAAAAUGCGGAAAAUCCAUCGAAAGCGAAGAAGCAGAAGAAGAGAAUUUAACGAAACCGAACGUUACUGUCUUGAGGUGAAUUUUGAGGUGGGUGGCGAUGAUAUCGACAUUGAUAACCUGGACCGAUGGAGGCGCCAAACCACGUGUUCCGAUCAGCGCUUCCGUUGCUAGUAACCAUCUACUGUACAUCGAACCUGAUGACAUCACGCCCAGCUCCAGCAGCUUAAGGAGCAGUGGUACAUUCCCGCUACAACCAUGAAGCAUAACCGUGAAAUUGGCCAACCAUCAAACCGGUAAGUACCCCGCGGCUCCAUCGUCGCUUCCCUAUAAAACAUAUCGACAAUGGUUUCUUGGUCAGUUUCCUCCGUUUCCCGAAAAAAUGUUUAAACUCGAAAAAUACUUAUUAAACACUGCCACCGGAAAUCCACCAACAACUGCAACACAACAACAAAAAAUCUCCCAACAUCGCGCAGCAUGAAUUCGAAAGCGGUGACGAAGUAAAAAAAAAGCGGAACAUUUCUAUUUCUCCAUUUUCCACCCUUGGGCGGCGCGGACGACGCCAAAUUAUAGUUUAAUCGGAUCUCGGAUCGCUUCGCCCACAGACGCCAGACCUCAGGCGCCAGCAACAACACAUUUUGCGUUUGGUAACGCUCCGGAAAAAUUCUUCUCCGGGCUGCCUGUUGCUUCUGUUGCACCUACCGCAACGUACCGAACGUUGACCAUGCUGGUUUCAUGCUCAGAAAACGCAACGCAACGUUAUGCUCCCGUUCAUUGUGUUGCUGUGUUUGCUGCUUUGCUGUGUUCCCUAUCGAGCCGCGAGCCUAACGGUGGUGCGAAUCAAAGAUAACAGCACCAACAGACCGAACUAGCAGCAACAUGUGUUGAUCGUAAUCUACAUAACGAAACUCCUAUUGGAGGGCUGCUUGUUGUUGCUGCUGCUGCUGCUGCUGUUGUUGUUGUUAUUGUUUAUGGCCGAGACCCGACGUUGAUUAUGACCACCGUUUUACACAACACAACAGUGCGUCAAGACGCAUUCUACAGCUUACAAUACGGGGGCGAUAAGCUUGACAUUCUUUAACCUGCACCUGGCCAUUGUACGUAACCGACGUAAAACCGAACGGGAAUGUUGGGCAUGUUUGCAAUAGAACACGAGUCACUCUCAUGCUUGUGGAGGAGUAGAAAGUGUUACUAAUCCUUCAAAAUCCGUCUGCUGCUGCUGCUGCUGGCACUACUACUAGACGUGCUACUUAACCCGGACUCCUCUGUUGCGGUUUGAUGGUUAAGGAAAUCAUGUCCGUGCUGCGCUACUACCUAGCGCCGCCAUAGUGCACCGUUACAGCAGCAGUAGUGUCGAGUAUGUUUCCGAUCCACUCGAUUGCACAUCUAGAGAGGGGUUGGCGUGGCAUCGAAGGGCGAUAUGCAACGCGCGAAAACAUAAGCUUAUUAGCGAGGGAGAGAUGAUUUGAAAGUUGGAACAACACCAGGCACCAGGCACCACCACGGUUGCAUUUACAAUUCCGGCGCAAAUCCUAACGCGCUCCGCUUUCACCGCUGCAUGUCUUUGCAUCUAGGGGGUGUCGGAAAGGGGGGGUGGCAGCUAAUUGGACUGCACCAUUCCUACGAAGCGCGUUGCAUUUGGGGGACUGUUGCAAUGCAGCUGGAAAGUCAUCACGAAAGAUAAACGUUUUUUCCAUGAAAAGCUAAUAAAAGUGAGAAAACAAUUCGCCCAACGGAAUGCACUUCAAUGCACUUUGGUGCACUUCUAAGCAAACUGCUUGUUCCAUUUGAGGUAGAGAAGAGCGAUGAUCGCACUAGCAUCAUGUCUGCUCAUUAUACUGUUAUCGAUGGAAUAUCUUCAAUUUUCUAGUGUUUGGCCUCCUUGCGUUCUGUUUUCUAAUUUUCUAGCAGUUUAGUAUCCUUCAAAUGAACACAUAUGCAUCCUUCUUAAUCUUGAUAAGUAUUUCAUGCGGGCUGCGAUUAGCUAUCGAGUAAAAAAAUAACUUAUCGCUCCAAAUGUUUUAAAAUAUGUAUAAUUGAAGAGCACCACAAGUACACCAUUACAGUAAUGCUUAACGAAAGGCAAUACCGUUGAAUCCAACCUCGAAUGCCUGACCAGCACAUACCCAGCACGCCAUUGGCGACCAUGACUUUUACUAGUCCUCUAGCAGCGCUCUAAUUUGGCGUACGCUUCAUCCACUAUUAUAUCAUCAGCGUCAUCAGCGUCAUUCUAGACGGAACGCGCCAAUUCCCGGAUUCCCCAUUUGCGGGGGAAGUGACAUUGCAUCGCGAUAAUGUGAGGCUGAUGCAGUUUCUGCUGGAGAAGGGAUGCUCUCGACUUCCCUCGUGGGGGACGAGGGCACAGAUAGUGCAUUGUCUACUGUCUGCUGUGAUGGAUAUAGCGACAGAAAGAGAGAGAGA